GGAGUACGGUCGCAAGAUUAAAACUCAAAGGAAUUGAUCGGGGACCCGCACANNCGGUGGAUGAUGUGGAUUAAUUCGAUGCAACGCGAAAAACCUUACCUACCCUUGACAUGGUCGGAACCCUGCUGAAAGGUGGGGGUGCUCGAAAGAGAACCGAUACACAGGUGCUGCAUGNCUGUCGUCAGCUCGUGUCGUGAGAUGUUGGGUUAAGUCCCGCAACGAGCGCAACCCUUGUCCUUAGUUGCUACGCAAGAGCACUCUAAGGAGACUGCCGGUGACAAACCGGAGGAAGGUGGGGAUGACGUCAAGUCCUCAUGGCCCUUAUGGGUAGGGCUUCAUCACGUCAUACAAUGGUCGGAACAGAGGGCUGCCAACUCCGUGAGGGGGAGCUAAUCCCAGAAAACCGAUCGUAGUCCGGAUCGUAGUCUGCAACUCGAGCUAGCGUGAAGUCUGGAAUCGCUAGUAAUCGCGGGAUCAGCAUG
rnacentral:rRNA from 1 species